rnacentral:rRNA from 1 species
GCCUACGGGGGGCAGCAGUAGGGAAUUUUCGUCAAUGGGCGCAAGCCUGAACGAGCAAUGCCGCGUGAACGAGGAAGGUCUUCGGAUCGUAAAGUUCUGUUGAAGGGGAAAAAGAGCGGAGAGAGGAAAUGGUCUCCGAUUGAUAUUACCCUUCGAGGAAGUCACGGCUAACUACGUGCCAGCAGCCGCGGUAAUACGUAGGUGGCGAGCGUUAUCCGGAAUGAUUGGGCGUAAAGGGUGCGUAGGCGGCCUGCUAAGUCUGGAGUGAAAGGUACCGGCUCAACCGGUACAGUCUCUGGAAACUG